rnacentral:lncRNA from 1 species
GUUUUUUUAGCAGACUUUGUAUUUUCAUUAUUAGGAGAGAAUAGUAAACUGAUCUUUGAAAGUCAUACACCAGUAUAAAUAAAAACUUCACCACCCUAAAUUUAGCACACUCUUUUACUUUAAAUGGAAACAGUGUCAAGAUAUCUUACCUACCAAGUGAAGACCUUGUUCCUAUUAAGAGAUGUGAGUGUGAGAAUCCAGGGCUACAUAGUGAUCCCCACACUCGGCUGGUAAAACCUUUGUGACAGUUAUUUCAGGGUUAAGGCAGAAUUUUGAAGUAUUAGGUGAUCGAUUCAGUUUUAUUUUUUUUCCUUUCAGGAUUCUAAAGGAAAACAUUCUCUGUUAUCUGUUAUAGGUCCUCAGAAUGGUUGGAAUGACCCUCCAGCUUUGAACAGAGUACCCAAAAAGAAGAAGAUGCCUGAAAACUUCAUGCCUCCUGUUCCCAUCACAUCACCAAUCAUGAACCCGUUGGGUGACCCCCAGUCACAAAU